UACGUAGGUGGCAAGCGUUGUCCGGAUUUAUUGGGUUUAAAGGGUGCGUAGGUGGUCUAUUAAGUCAGUGCUGAAAUAUCCCGGCUUAACCGGGAGGGUGGCAUUGAUACUGAUGGACUUGAGUAAAGUUGAGGUUUGGCGGAAUUGACGGUGUAGCGGUGAAAUGCUUAGAUAUCGUCAAGAACACCUAUUGCGAAGGCAGCUAAACUAAGCUUUAACUGACACUGAGGCACGAAAGUGUGGGGAUCAAACAGG
rnacentral:rRNA from 1 species